CACUGAAACAAGGGGAAGGCUCACAUAGAGGCAGCAGUAGAGAAUCUUGUGCAAUGCACGAAAGUAUGACACAGAGAGGACACAUUUAAUUGAGCCUGUCAAAUUAAGUGCCAGCCGACGCGGUUAGACUUAAGGGCUGGUCUUUAUAAGUAAAAAGGCGUAAAGGAUGUGUAGGCCAAGAAAUUAUCCAAGAAGGUAAAUGGAAUUUUUCUGGAGCGGUAGAAUGUGAGGAUAGAAAAUAGAACUCCUAAGGUUAAAACUAUUUACCACAAGAUAGGCUGAGACAUGAAAGUGUGGGGAGCAAACAGGAUUAGAGACCCUGGUAGUCCACUCUGUGAACUUUGAAGAUGAUGCUUAGCAGACCCGAAAGGUAAAAUCUUCCGCCUGAGUAGUACGAUCGCAAGAUUAAAAUUCAAAAACUUUGGCUGUUCACUAUUUCGAUUAGAGGAGCGUGUAGUUUAAUUCGAUGGUCCGCGUGUUACCUUACCCCAGCUUGAAUCUGUGACCGGUAUUGCAUGGCCGUCGUAAGUCCGUGUGUUAAGCUAGAAGGGACCCAAUCCGGGCGUUUGCCCGAAGGAAGUCAGGUCUUAUGAUCCGAAUGUUGGGGGAUUUUAUGCGCUACAUUUUCUUAUAUAAUGAGAGACUUGAAAGGUAAGCCUCUAAAGUAAGAGUUCGGAAGGUCGCUGUAAAACGACUGGAAGUUGGAUUUAAUAGUAAUCGGAAAGUAGGGCGUUCCGGUGAAUUGGUACAAGUGUUAGCACAAAUUGCCCGUCACCUUUACCUAGAAUGGUUAUUCGGACGCCUUUGGUGGUUACGAAUGCCUACGAGGUAAAGCAAGUCGUAA
rnacentral:rRNA from 1 species